UACGAGGGGGGCGAGCGUUGUUCGGAAUUCUUGGGCGUAAAGGGUGCGUAGGCGGUUUGGUAAGUCUCGUGUGAAAUCUACAGGCUCAACUUGUAGUCUGCACGAGAAACUGCCGGGCUUGAGUGUGGGAGAGGUGAGUGGAAUUCCUGGUGUAGCGGUGAAAUGCGUAGAUAUCAGGAGGAACACCUGUGGCGAAAGCGGCUCACUGGACCAUAACUGACGCUGAUGCACGAAAGCUAGGGGAGCAAACAGG
rnacentral:rRNA from 1 species